rnacentral:rRNA from 1 species
CUACGGGUUGCUCCAGCUAAGAAUCUUCCGCAAUGGACGAAAGUCUGACGGAGCGAUGCCGCGUGGAUGAAGAAUGUCGAGAGAUUGUAAAAUCCUUUUAUGAGUGAGGAAUAACGGCACUAGGAAAUGAGUGCUGGAUGACGUUAGCUCAUGAAUAAGCUCCGGCAAUUACGUGCCAGCAGCCGCGGUAACACGUAAGGAGCGAGCGUUGUUCGGAAUUAUUGGGCGUAAAGGGCGUGUAGGCGGUUAAUUAAGUCUUCUUUGAAAGACCGGUGCUCAACACCGGAACCGGGGGAGAAACUGAUUAACUAGAAUCCGGUAGGGAAAUGUGGAAUUCCUAGUGUAGGGGUGAAAUCUGUUGAUAUUAGGAAGAACACCAAUGGCGAAGGCAACAUUUUGGGACUGGAUUGACGCUGAGGCGCGAAAGCAUAGGGAGCAAACAGGAUUAGAUACCCUCGUAGUC